UUUAUCGGAGAGUUUGAUCCUGGCUCAGGACGAACGCUGGCGGCGUGCUUAAGACAUGCAAGUCGAACG
rnacentral:rRNA from 1 species